UACGUAGGUGGCAAGCGUUGUCCGGAUUUACUGGGCGUAAAGAGCGCGCAGGCGGCUGGGCAAGUCCGAUGUGAAAGCUUCCGGCUUAACUGGAAAAUUGCAUCGGAAACUGCUCGGCUUGAAGGUGGGAGAGGGUAGCGGAAUUCCCGGUGUAGUGGUGAAAUGCGUAGAUAGUCGGGAGGAACACCAGUGGCGAAGGCGGCUACCUGGCCCACUCUUGACGCUGAGGCGCGAAAGCUAGGGGAGCAAACGGG
rnacentral:rRNA from 1 species